CACCCUGUAACUGCUCACACUCUGGCUGAGCUGCUUCAGUCUGCCGAUGUCUCUGUGACAGGCUUGUCAGAAGAGCAUGCAAACUUUCUCGCUGUUUUUACUGAUUUUAAUUUGCAGUAGGAAUCAAUGAAUUAAUGAACAGCAGCUUUGCCUCUUUUAAAUGAUUGCACAAGGACUGACUCCCUUUCCUAACAAAGUCCUUUUACUUACUGACUGCUAUUGAAGGAAGAAUGGAUUUCCUGCCUGAAAUAAUGCUUCUCUUAACAGUAGCGCUACCUGCUGCUGCCAAGUCAUGCCGUGCCACAGAAGGAAGAGCUGCCCAGUGCUACGCCGCUUUGGGAGAACCUGUGUUUCUGCAUUUCAUCAUUGACCUUAAAAAUAAAACAUUUCGACUGAUGAAAGACCAUGUUCUGCUUCUACGUUCAAACAAUAAUGAAAUGGAAAAUGGCAAGAAAUACAAGAACAAAAGUAACUCUUUCUUCAACGGGACAUUCGAGUUGUACAAUGUGGUGAAAAAUGAUUCUGGGAAAUACUGCUGUGAAGUGUUUAAUGCCGAUGGAAGACAACACUACAGAGCUGAAAUACAGCUGACUAUUGAAGCCCUACUGCCAAAACCUGAACUAUCCCAACUAUGUUUACCCCACGGAGAGAUGAGAGUGUCCUGUUCCUCUCGGGACGAAUAUUCAGAGCUACGGUGGACCCUGGAGAACCAGAACCUAAACAGGAAUGUGGCCUAUCUGAGCAGCCAAAGGGACACUGUCAUACUGAAGGGGAACGUGUCUGGAGCUCUGGGCUGUGAAGUCAGGAAUCAUGUCAGUAACAGUACCAACACGCUCCAGAUUGUGCCCUGUCCAGGAAUUGACACCGCUGUGACUUUGUGGUGUAAUUCAGCGAACGGAACAGAGGUCUCAUUCACGAUCAGCGCUGCACACUCCCGCUCGGUGCCGAGUAUCACCAGGAUGUUUUUCACUUUUUCUGGGGAAGACCCGGUGCUUGUUAUUUGCAACAGCAGAGCCGACAUGCGGUACCCAACGGGUAAAAAAAAUGAUCAGCAUUUUACUUUUAAAUUUUGUGAAACUCUCCUCUUGGUUUGCUCAUUAAUUCAAAUUAAAUCAGCUCUAUUUAUUUUUGAGAAUGUGGUCAUAACAUGUGCAUUAGAAGCAUUACCAAAUUUCCCCCCCAGGGAUCAAUGAAGUAUCUAUCUAUCUAUCUAUCUAUCUAUCAAACUGCAGGUCUCUUCUUGUGCAUGACCCUCCCCUCCUCACGGACAUGUCAUGUUUUUGUGCCCUUGCAGUUAUUUUAUUGAUAUUAGCUGCCUCGGGAGUCUUUAUAGCUGUUGCUCUACUUGCAAGAACAUACUGUCUCCAAGUGAGGACCACCAGACACCGCAGUUCCCCAUCAAGUCAGCAAUCAGGUGAGCACAUGUUCAAGGUGAACCUAAGAGUGUGACGAGGCCAGCGCUGCAUGGAGUACCUUCUCUUGUCUCUCGCCUCUCAGAUGAAGAGAACGUCCCUGAGCCAGUCUACACGCAAGUUAGUGUGAGGAAAAAGAAGAAAAGUACAGCAAUAGAGCAAGCAGCACUAGAGGAGGUGCAGUACGGACAGGUGAAACUCAGCGAACAUGAUACCCUGUCUGACAGUUUAGGGAUUUCUGUAUAUACUGUGGUUCGGCAAUAGAGCUGAUCAUUUUGUGAAAAUAAUACUGUUCGAUUUUUAAAGAAAGAUUUAGGAUCAGUUUCGGUAUUUAUGGCGUCUGCCUAAGGGAACCUGAGAUCAAUCGCUGAAUAAUUAGCUAAAAAAAAAAAACGUAUUGCACUCUAUUUCCUUUGUCUUAUUCAACAGAUGCUUUAAACAAUGGGCUUUUCAAGAUAAUGAAAACGACAAAGUCCAUAGAACAUCUGACUCCUGUUUUUCUCAGGUUUUUAGAUUGUAUAAUUUUUUUAAAAAAAAUGCAGAUACAAUUAAAAAGCAUUAACUUUCGAUAAAUAUAUAACUGAGAUCUGUUAGAUUUCAAACUUUCUCUCAGUAGUGGUGCUGUGAUCCCUCAGAACUCAUCGUAGACCCAGUGUCUUAUAGUUACUCUUCUGUCUUCUGUCUUAACGUAUGCGCUGAAAUGUUUAGAUCUUCUUGUUCAGAUGAGUAUCUAUGACUUUUCUUGUUGGGUUUGGGCUUUAUGGAAUUCAUAUUCAAAGUUGAACAUGAAUCGUAUAAUAUGCAGUCUAGACAAAACAAAAGAAGAAAUCAAAAAAAAGAGAUGAAGGCCGAUUUUUAACUGAUUAUAAUCAGUUAUCUAUAAUUAUAGAUAAUAAAACAAAACUUUAUGAGAGGCCA
rnacentral:lncRNA from 1 species